GGGCCCGCACAAGCGGUGGAGCAUGUGGUUUAAUUCGAUGAUACGCGAGGAACCUUACCAGGGCUUAAAUGUAGUGGGACAGGUCUAGAGAUAGACCCUUCUUCGGACUCAUUACAAGGUGCUGCAUGGUUGUCGUCAGCUCGUGCCGUGAGGUGUCAGGUUAAGUCCUAUAACGAGCGCAACCCCUAUCGUUAGUUGCCAGCGAGUAAUGUCGGGAACUCUAACGAAACUGCCAGUGCAAACUGUGAGGAAGGUGGGGAUGACGUCAAAUCAUCACGGCCCUUACGUCCUGGCUACACACGUGCUACAAUGGCCGGUACAGAGAGCAGCCACUGGGUGACCAGGAGCG
rnacentral:rRNA from 1 species